CCUCCUUUCUAAGGAUGAAUGAAAGUAAAAUUUCAUUCUAAAUAAUAUACAUCGGUAAUGUUGACCGUCCUCAUUUCUCUUCUUAAAGUAAUGUCUCCUUCUUGUAGGGCCGGUAGCUCAGUUGGUUAGAGCACACCCUUGAUAAGGGUGGGGUCGAAAGUUCGUGUCUUUCUCGGCCCACCAUACUUAACUGGGGGAUUAGCUCAGCUGGGAGAGCGCCUGAUNUGCAUUCAGGAGGUCAGCGGUUCGAUCCCGCUAUCCUCCACCAGGAAACAUUUAGCUAUUANAACUGUAAAUAAAAAUAAUUUAUAUCAAUAUCUAUAUCCGAACAUUAAAAGUUAUUAUUUAAUGUUCAAAAUAAAAAUUUGAUCACAACACAGAAAGAAUUUUUUUUCUGUGCAUAAAUCAAGCGUUUANGGGCGUGUGGCGGAUGCCUUGGGCACUGAAAGCCGAUGAAGGACGUGAUAUACUGCGAUAAGUUUC
rnacentral:misc_RNA from 1 species